UACGGAGGAUCCGAGCGUUAUCCGGAUUUAUUGGGUUUAAAGGGUGCGCAGGCGGGAGAUUAAGUCGGCUGUGAAAUUUUGCAGCUCAACUGUAAAAGUGCCUUCGAAACUGGUUUCCUUGAGUGUAGAUGAAGUAGGCGGAAUUUGUGGUGUAGCGGUGAAAUGCAUAGAUAUCACGAGGAACUCCGAUUGCGCAGGCAGCUUACUAAACUACUACUGACGCUCAGGCACGAAGGCGUGGGGAUCAAACAGGAUUAGAUACCCU
rnacentral:rRNA from 1 species